AUGUAGCCCCAUCUAAAACACAGAAGUGAUUUCGCUACUUGUACUUGUAUGCCCCCCCCCCCCCCCCCCCAGUCUCCAGGACAUCAAUCAUUCUACUACAUGUACUAUAGGGUAACCAUUGGAUAUCUACAUGCACUCUGUCAGAAAAUGUAUUUUUAAAUUGUCUUAUCUCCUGGUUUUUUUUUUCUCAUACCUGGGUGUAGGAAAAGGAUGUUGUUUUUUUUUUUACUUUCUUGUAUUUCUUUUUAAUCAGAAGGGAAAGUGGUCCAUAGGGACAAGAUGUAAUAUUUUAUUUUUUUUAAAUAAAAUUUUCCACCAUGUUUGGAAUAACAGUCAUAUCUCAGUGUAUUUUGUGUUGUAAACAAAUAUCUUAUGUACUGCAUGUUCAGUUUUGUAAAAGUCAUAAAAAGUGGACCAUAGAUUUUUGUUUUAAGCAAGAACAAAAAAAAAAAAACUUAAAAAGAGAGAAAUGUAUUGCCAGUUUGUUCAAUAAAUAGCAUUGCUUUCAUUCUCUUUAC
rnacentral:misc_RNA from 1 species